ensembl:lncRNA
ACAAACAAGGGAAAUCUUUUUCUUCUUCCAGAAACUCGGCUAUUUCACCCCCCCCGGUCUGUCGGACUCUCCUAUGCCCAUGCAGGAGUCUGUGAUGCUGAUAGUGGGGAACUACUCUGUGACCUGCAAAGGCAAGCUCACCUACCACCCAGACCCGCACUUCACGAGCUUCACUACCAUACCUACGGGCAAGGACAUGUCUGUCGUCAUACAGAAAACUGCAGACUCCCUGGUGUUGAAACAAGAAGAGAUCAGUGUACAGGCCAUGCAGGGGGAGAAGUCUUAUGGCUGUGUGAUUGAACGAAUCGAACCCAGUGCUGACACAACCGCUGUUGUGUGUGUGAUCAGUAAUCAGACAGGCCUCAGCAUAGACACACUGAAGAUCACUGUUGGAGGGUCACUGUCAGUAAGCCUUAAGAAAAGCCAGAACCUGUCGUACCCCAUCACUAUC